rnacentral:rRNA from 1 species
UACGUAGGGUGCGAGCGUUGUCCGGAAUUACUGGGCGUAAAGAGCUCGUAGGUGGUUUGUCGCGUUGUUCGUGAAAUCUCACGGCUUAACUGUGAGCGUGCGGGCGAUACGGGCAGACUAGAGUACUGCAGGGGAGACUGGAAUUCCUGGUGUAGCGGUGGAAUGCGCAGAUAUCAGGAGGAACACCGGUGGCGAAGGCGGGUCUCUGGGCAGUAACUGACGCUGAGACGCGAAAGCGUGGGGAGCGAACAGG